rnacentral:rRNA from 1 species
AUUGCCCUAGUACGGCGAGUGAAGCGGCAACAGCUCAAAUUUAAAAUCUGGCGUCUUUCAGGCGUCCGAGUUGUAAUUUGAAGAAGGUAUCUUUGGGUCUGGCUCUUGUCUAUGUUUCUUGGAACAGAACGUCACAGAGGGUGAGAAUCCCGUGCGAUGAGAUGACCCAGACCUAUGUAAAGUUCCUUCGAAGAGUCGAGUUGUUUGGGAAUGCAGCUCUAAGUGGGUGGUAAAUUCCAUCUAAAGCUAAAUAUUGGCGAGAGACCGAUAGCGAACAAGUACAGUGAUGGAAAGAUGAAAAGAACUUUGAAAAGAGAGUGAAAAAGUACGUGAAAUUGUUGAAAGGGAAGGGCUUGAGAUCAGACUUGGUAUUUUGUAUGUUACUCUUUCGGGGGUGGCCUCUACAGUUUACCGGGCCAGCAUCAGUUUGGGCGGUAGGAGAAUUGCAAAGAAAUGUGGCACUGCUUCGGUAGUGUGUUAUAGUCUUUGUCGAUACUGCCAGCCUAGACUGAGGACUGCGGCUUCGGCCUAGGAUGUUGGCAUAAUGAUCUUAAGUCGCCCGUCUUGAAACACGGACCA